rnacentral:snoRNA from 1 species
UGGUAAUAAAUAAUGCUGUGACCAAAGAUAGAAGUUCUACAUAGGAUGCAAUAGUCAUAGUAGUACUAUGUUUUCUAGAGGAGAUAUACUG